rnacentral:tRNA from 1 species
AGCCACUAAAUACGCGGGAGAAGGCCACCUUGACAUGGUGGGGGUCGUUGGUUCGAGUCCAAUCGCGCCUACCA